CUCUUGUGGCUUCCAUGCAGAAGUGCACGGAAACAGCUAUUUGCUAUUGAAAAGUUGGCUGUUACUGUUCUUCUGAUGGAUGCUGCUGGAUU
ensembl:miRNA